GAGGAUGGGCCAUAGCUCAGUCGCAGAACAUCUCCUUUGUGUGCAGAAGGUCCCAGGUUCAAUCCCCAGCGUCUUCA